UAUGUUACUACAUAUGAAACAGUAAAAAAUGAAGAAGAAUUUUUUGUGGAAACUAUACCCAAAUGGCAAUGUAUUAUAUUGGAUGAAGCACAUCGAAUAAAAAAUCAAGGAGGUGCAGUAAGACAUUCUAUGGAUCGAGUAGUUGGAAAUAUGCGAUUAUUAUUAACUGGUACACCAUUACAAAAUAAUUCAGCAGAAUUAUUUACUUUAAUAAAUUUUAUGUUUCCUGAUAUUUUUAAAAAUUCAGAAAUAAUAGAACAAGCAUUUAUGCAAGCUUCUUCUGUUGGACCUAAUGCAGGAUCAUCCUCUAAUGUUGUUGUUGGUAGUGGUAGGGGUAGUAAAGAUGAUAAUACUCGUACAACUGGUACAAAUAGUAUGAUUAAUGGUACAAUAAAUUCUAGUAAUAAUAGUGGUAAUUCAAAACUUAAUGUAAAUAUAGGGAAUAUUGAUUUAAAAUCGUCAAUUAAGGAAGAAGAUUUAAAAGCUAUUCGUUGUUUAUUAGAUAAAGUUAUGUUAAGAAGAUUAAAAGAACAAGCUAUUACUUUACCUAAAAAAAUAUUUCAUGAUGUUUGGUUACCAUUAGGUUCAUUAUCUGCUCAUUGGUAUAAACGAUUAUUAGAUAUAAGAUCUAUGGUAGAAGAAAAAGUUAGUGUAAAAAAAUUGUUAGGUUUGGUUAUAAAAAUGAGAAUUAUUUGUGGACAUCCUAAAGGUAUUGUUAGUAGACCAUCUCAAAUGGAAAAAUUGUUUGCAUUUUUUGAAGAAGAAAGUGAAGAAAUAAAAGAACAAGUUAAAAAUGAUGCUAUGAAAUUAAGAAAUAUAUCAGGAAAAGAACAUAUAGAAUCAUCUUCUAAAUUAAUUUUUAUUGAUAAAUUAUUAUGUCAGUUACAUUAUGAGAAUUGUAAAUAUGUAAAAAAUUAUGCAGCUUCUUACGAUAAACAUAAAAAAGAAGUAGCAGCUUAUAACUAUUAUAAAAUACAAGAACAAAAUAAUGCUAAUAAAAAAAAAAAAGAACAUAAAAAAAAAAAAAAAAAAAAAAAGAAUCAAGACAAAUCAUCAGAUGAGGAUGAAGAGGAAGAAGAAGAAGAUGUAACAUUUGGGUUUGAUAAAUAUUUUGCAAAUACUAUGGGAAAAAAUGAAAAGAAACAAAAUAUUGAUUAUAAAAAAAAAGGUAACAAACGUGUUAUGUUAGAAUCGGAUGAGGAAGAUAGUGGUGCUGGGUAUAGUGGUGCUGGGUAUAGUGGUGCUGGGUAUAGUGGUGUUGGGUAUAGUGGUGCUGGGUAUAGUGGUGUUGGGUAUAGUGAUGAUGGAGAUGCUGAUACGGAUGGUACAACUGGAAAAAGUAACAACGAUAAAACGAAACGAAAAGGAAAGGAUAAAAAUGUAAUAACAUUAAGUAAUAAUUGUAAAAUGAUGAAUAUAAAACAUUUUUUUAAAACUGAUAAAAAAGAGAAUGCUACUUCUGGUAGUAGUGUUAGUACAGAGAAAAUUGAAAAAGUUGGAACGGAUAUGGAAAAAGAAGAAAAGGGAGGAAAUAAUACGAAUUGUACAGUUGUUAGUGAUAUUGUAAAUAAAAAUGAUAAUACUACUACUGAUAGUGAUAAUAACAAAAACAAACUGAAUGGUGAUGGUGGUAUUUCUACGAAUGAAACAAUAAAUAGUGAUCAACAAUUUACUAGUAGUAAGAAUAUAUCUAAUGACAAGGUGGAAAAGGUGGAAAAAUUGGAAAAUAUGGAAAAAUUGGAAAAUAUGGAAAAAGUGGAAAAAGUGGAAAAAU
ensembl:lncRNA